rnacentral:rRNA from 1 species
GGGUAGCGAAAGCGUGGGGAGGCAAACAGGAUUAGAUACCCUGGUAGUCCACGCCGUAAACGAUGUCAACUAGCCGUUGGAAUCCUUGAGAUUUUAGUGGCGCAGCUAACGCAUUAAGUUGACCGCCUGGGGAGUACGGCCGCAAGGUUAAAACUCAAAUGAAUUGACGGGGCCCGCACAAGCGGUGGAGCAUGUGGUUUAAUUCGAACAACGCGAAGAACCUUACCAGGCCUUGACAUCCAAUGAACUUUCCAGAGAUGGAUUGGUGCCUUCGGGAACAUUGAGACAGGUGCUGCAUGGCUGUCGUCAGCUCGUGUCGUGAGAUGUUGGGUUAAGUCCCGUAACGAGCGCAACCCUUGUCCUUAGUUACCAGCACGUUAUGGUGGGCACUCUAAGGAGACUGCCGGUGACAAACCGGAGGAAGGUGGGGAUGACGUCAAGUCAGCAUGCCCCUUACGUCCUGGGCUACACACGUACUACAAUGGUAGGGACAGAGGGCAGCCAACCCGCGAGGGCGAGCUAAUCCCCGUAAACCCUGCCUCAGUUCAGAUU